UCAGACAGCCACCGUCCUUGUUGAUUGAU
rnacentral:piRNA from 1 species